ACGCUUCGAGCGCCGUAGGCAGGAGCGGGGGACCCAAGGUAGGUGCCGGGCCCGGUCGUCGGGAGACGAGCGGAACCGGCUCGGGGUGAAGCCGCGCGCCACCCGGCGCGCGGCCGGGCACUCACCAGGCCCGAACCCGACAGCUCACCUCGCAGGCGUCGGUGAGGAGAUCC
rnacentral:sRNA from 1 species